ensembl:lncRNA
GGGAAAUGGGUUCAGAUGAUGAGUCCUCCUUAUUGUGGAGAAAGAGAAAAGUUGAAUAGUUUGAAGACUUCUUAGCAGUGAAACUCAACUCUGAAGAGCCUUUGAGGUGAGCCCCAAUGGCACCCCACUCCAGUACUCUUGCCUGGAAAAUCCCAUGGAUGGAGGAGCCUGGUAGGCUGCAGUUCAUGAGGUCGCUAAGAGUCAGACACGACUGAGCGACUUCACUUUUCACUUUCAUGCAUUGGAGAAGGAAAUGGCAACCCACUCCAGUGUUCUUGCCUGGAGAAUCCCAGGGACAGAGGAGCCUGGUAGGAGGCCAUCUAUGGGGUCGCACAGAGUCGGACACGACUGAAGUGACUUAGCAGCAGCAGCAGCAAGUAUCAGUACUUAACAUUACUUCUUGUCUAUCCUCACUCCUUUUGUGAUCUCUUCAAGUCUUAUGGCUUAUGUAGCAUCUGUAUGCUAAUGACUGCCAUAUUUAUAACCCCACCCCAGAUCUCUAUCCUGAACUCCACACUUGUAUAUUUAACUGCUCCUCAAUAUUUUUACAUAAAUACUUAUUAUUAAAUACAUCAAAAC